GACGAACCGUGCGAACGUUGUUCGGAUUCACUGGGCAUAAAGGGCGCGUAGGCGGACGGUCAAGUCGGGGGUGAAAUCUUUCAGCUUAACUGGAAAAGUGCCUCCGAUACUGACGGUCUCGAGGGUGGUAGGGGCAUGUGGAACUUCCGGUGGAGCGGUGAAAUGCGUAGAUAUCGGAAGGAACGCCGGUGGCGAAAGCGACGUGCUGGACCUCUUCUGACGCUGAGGCGCGAAAGCUAGGGGAGCAAACGGG
rnacentral:rRNA from 1 species